rnacentral:misc_RNA from 1 species
GUUUCAGUUGUACAUUAUGCACAGUAGACAUUCCAUUACAUUCAAGAGUGUGUAAAAGGGUACUCGAGCGCCAGGCCUGGUGAAGGGCCAUGCAAAGCGGCACUCAGAGUCAUUGAUGCACAGGUGUGUGGGAUUGUGCGACCCGUUGAACGUGCACAUGUGGAUCUCUCCACCAGCAACGGGACGACGAGCCGACUUUGAAGUUUCAUUAAUGAUCCUUCCGCAGGUUCACCUACGGAAA